GUGUCCGAUCGAUGGUUCUGGAUGCUAUUUUAGUAUUUCGAUCGUGUGAUAGAGUUCGUAUAAUAUUUUUAGACUUGUGUGAAUGUUUGAUGUGGAUCCCCCAGGGGUCAGGUGAGUUUUAUAUUGAUUUUGUUAGAAUUUUGUGUGAGGGUGGUGGUUUCAUCUCGCAUUUGUGAAUCAGGACUGCUGGGGAAGGGACCUCGCAUUUACGGGGAUUGUAUCGCAAUUAUAUACACUGGAGCUAGCUUUUGGGGCACUAGAGUCGCUUUUGCAAUGAGCCUCUACGGGGAAACACCUUCGCAAUGGCAAAGUUUAUUGUAACAAAUGCGACAUUAGUAGGUCUGGCUAGGUUUCGCUUUUGUGAUCCUUUUUCCGCAAUUGCGCAUGCGAUUUGUGCAGUUUGUUUAUCGCUGAGUAUUUCAGGACUUACCUUCAUCUUAUCAUAUUUUGAGUUGUGAAUCAGGACUGCUGGGGAAGAGACCUCGCAUUUACGGGGAUUGUAUCGCAAUUAUAUACACUGGAGCUAGCUUUUGGGGCACUAGAGUCGCUUUUGCAAUGAGCCUCUACGGGGAAACACCUUCGCAAUGGCAAAGUUUAUUGUAACAAAUGCGACAUUAGUAGGUCUGGCUAGGUUUCGCUUUUGUGAUCCUUUUUCCGCAAUUGCGCAUGCGAUUUGUGCAGUUUGUUUAUCGCUGAGUAUUUCAGGACUUACCUUCAUCUUAUCAUAUUUUGAAUCCCAGACUUGGCGGGAGGCGAUUUCAAUUUGUUGAGAGAUUUUCAUACCAAACUAUUCGAUAAGUCACUUUAAUCCAUUUUUAAUCAUAUUACAUGAUUAUUUAUGAGAUUUAACGCCAAAUUCAUGGGUUUUGAAGGGAAAAUUUAGGGAUUUUUUAUUAUGAUCUGAAAAAUAAAAAUUUAAGAUUUAAGAGUAAAAUUUGACUCGAAAUUGAAAACAAACCAUAUAUAUGAACUCGCAGGGCUAUGGCUACCCUUCGACUCAGGUUUUUACCAAGUGAGCCUAAUUUUGACUUUUGAAAAAAUAUAUAAAGAUUAUAGCUCUAUUAAUUGGAAUUGGUUCCCUUGUAUUUUUUGAUAUUAUUAAGUUAGUUUUUGCUAGAUUUAAACGAGGCGGAUGUAACUUUUAAAGAAAACGCUAUUUUGG
rnacentral:lncRNA from 1 species